AGCGAGAGCGAGAGAGAGAGAGAAAAGAAAAAAAUAAAGAAUACCUCUGGAUAAGACCAAAAUUAAAAAUAGUUUGUUGAUUAAAAUAAAGUGUUUGUUAUUCUUGUAAUUUUUAAUAUUGAUUUGACGUAUUUAUAUUAUUUACUUGAAAUAAUAAUCAUUCUUAUAAAAUUUAGAUUUGAGUAUUGUAUCUAUUAUCAAAAGUUUUUUUUUAUUUAUAAUUUCAAUAAUAAAUAAAACUUAUAUAUGUUCUAGACACUGAUUUGAAAUAAGACCAAACAUAAUAACAAAUAGACACUUACAUCUAUUGUUGUUGAAUGAGAAGUUAUUCAACAUAAAAUAACAUUGUAAAAAGCUUUUGAUUCAUCACCUUUCUAAUUAUACGUAUUUUUUUAGAUGAGAUUGUAUUCACGUUGUUAAAAUGGUCCACUUCCUACUUAAAAGUGGUUUUGAACUAGCAAAUCUAAAAUUUAAGAAGCCCAUAAGUUGUGAGUUAAAUUUUCAUAAUUAGGUGAUUGAUGUAUUUUAA
rnacentral:lncRNA from 1 species